CCUGAACGCUGGCGGCGUGGCUAAGACAUGCAAGUCGCACGGAACCCGCAAGGGUUCAGUGGCGAACGGGUGAGUAAUGAAUCGCUAAUGUGCCCCGACUCUGAGAUAGCUGCCCGAAAGGGCAGGUAAUAUCAGAUGAUAUAACCGAACCGCAUGGUUUGGUUCUCAAAGGUCCGCCGGUCUGGGAGCAGGCGAUUUCGUAUCAGCUAGUUGGU
rnacentral:rRNA from 1 species